UCCGCCGCUCUGGGCGGCAGCGCGGGGAUAAAUGAGCCUUUCAGCGCGCGCAGCCCGAGCUCCCUCCCCGGGAGGCCGGGAAUUUCCAUCCUGUAACGGAGCGGGACGGCCAGGCAGAGCCAUCCCCCCGCAGCCAUUGGCACAGGGCCGGGGGCUCCCGCCCCCUGGGGCCGGCCCCGCCGAGCUUUCCCCGGGAGAUGCUGGAGCCCCGGGGCGAUGCUGAAGACCCCUGCGCCAGGCGGCGGGAGGGAUGCGGGGACCCUCCCGGCUGUCCCGGAGCCCCAGGCAGCCCACUUCCAGGUCUUCAGGGAUUUGCUCGGCAGAUGGUAACUCCGUUCCGAUGAAGGAGCUGUUUCGGUGGAACAAUAGCAGUGAAGUGAGAUUUGCACCCCAGGUCAGUCACACUGCUGUCAUCAACCCUGUCACAUGGUGUCCUGAGAACUGGGACUGACAUCAGCCACAUUGCUGAGAUCCAUCACCAUUGAAGUGCAGUCAUAGAUUUUUUGGAGCUGAAGCUCCAGCACUCAGCACUUACAUGGAAAAGGAGAAUCCUACAAAUAUACAAAAUAGCCCAUAUGCUAAAGAUACAUGGCCACGUGGAGCAGUCUGUAAGUUCUCUUGACAGCUACUGUGGGUUAGCUGCAUAUUGAGAGUACACUGAUUCUUCAGAGAAAAGGAAUAGAAAACUUACAACAAUAGUGGUAAUGUGCAUAAACAAGCAAAUUAUUGAGUUCAGGUGCCUUACCUUCCUUCACCUACUCUCUUCAUACUCUCAGCCAAGCUACUCAUAUGACAUGUGCUAUCUGCUUUGUUUCUUCUUUCCACCUGAUCCAUGGUCAAUUUAGAACCAGAUAACAUUUGAUCUCCGCUGUUUUCACCCUCCUCGACUCUUCGGGCUGAUGUUCCGUCUGCCUCUAUCUCUUUCUCAGAUGUCUCUGGAGAGCUUUUAAUUUCUGCAACAGUUUCUUGGCUUAAGUAAUCAUGAUUAGUGAUUGCUACUGCAGAAGUUCCAUGAUUUGUUGCACCACCCGUACUGGUACCCAUUGACUUUGAAAUGACUUUAAGUCUGUGUGAAGUUGACUUGUAGUGCUUCUUUUUGUGUUUAACUUUGGAAUUGUGCCUCAAGAAAAAUUCACAUGACUCUUGCAGCACUCUUCGACUCUCACUUAUUGGACUAAAAGAGAACACAAGCAGGUAACUGAAUGAAGAGGAUAACCUUGGCUAUAAUGUGAUAAAGACUCAGACAUAAAACCCUGACAGAACAGGAACCAGUGAUGCAAUCUGAGAUGGAUGUUAAUGAACAAGAAAAAAAAAUAUGUGAAAAGAAGAGAAAAAAAGUCUGAUCAUAAUAGCACCAAAGUAAUUAUGUUUGUGCAACAAUUAAAUAAAGCAGAUUUCUACAUAUCUUACUUCUGCAAGUUGGUCUUAAUGACUUCAGUACAUUAAUGAUCUAAGAGAGGAAAGAAGGAUUAGCUCAUAAAGCAACUACAUUAUCAAGUUAACUUUAUAUAAAGUAAACCUCAUUCAAAUGAAGAAAGGUAAGCAUUAUAAAAAUUACUUCAUUAUUUUUAAAUCCUUGUAGCUGAAAGCAGUUAACAUCUGAAAUACAAGAAAAAAUUAUACAGGAAAUGGAAAAAGAGGGUAGAGGGAAAGGAAGCCAUAAGCUGACCAUCGAAGAAUGUAAAUGUAAAAUAAAAGGAGCUUAAGGACUACUGCCUUGGGAAAUCCAAAGAAAUAAAGCAAUCUAAACCCACAGUAUAAUUUAUAAGUAAUAGAUAAUCUAAAAAGAAAUAAUCAAGGAAUAAGAAAGAAUUGAAAAAUUACAACAAGAAGAAAUGGAGAUGAAAUUUAUAAGCUGCUUAAAUCCAUAGAUACAAAUUUACUAAAAUUAAGUAAUAAAACUGAAUAUUUGUCUUUCAGAAAAAAAAUAAAGAACAGUAGAUUUUUGCAAUAAAAGUGACAGUAAGGAGAGUUCAAUGAAUAUUAAUUUUAAAACAAGAUAAGCCUGGCAGAGAAGAAAAGCAGAUGAUAUUAUUAUUGCAUGACAGUAAACACCACAAAGUACUGUGUCAAAUGAAGUGGUCGCAACACAUGAAAGGAACUAAACUGAUGACUGAAAUUAUCUUCCCUCCUUCGACUCGAAACCAGAGAUGUAUUAGCCAAUGCUAAACACAACAACAUGCCUUCUGCUCUACAAAAGAGAAAUCAGCAGAGGAAAAAAAUUUCUAUCUUCUGAGAAUGUCAAAAAGUCACUGCAUGUGUAAACCUUCCCCCGACUCCAAUGGAAUUUUGCUGAUGCCCAAAGGCAGCAUUUAAAGUCUGAAAAAGAAGUCUCAGGACAACAUUUUGAUUACCUGAGCUAUAUAUAAAGAAACAUGUCUUAAAGCCAACUUUAUAAGUAUACACUUUAACAAACAGGAAUAAAAAAAUUUUUCUUA